CUAUCAAACUUAUUACAAAGUUGUUCUAACAAGUCUGAUACAGUCAUGGUAUAACAAGCAUGUUACAAGGUUGAUGACACAAGGUUGUAACAAUAUUGUUAUAUCGUGACUGCAUCGGAUUUGUUGGAACAACCUUGCAACAAGUCUGAUAA